rnacentral:rRNA from 1 species
GCGGCGUGCUUAACACAUGCAAGUCGAACGAGAAUCUGCGGAAAGAGGAUUCGUCCAAUUGAAGCAGAGGACAGUGGCGGACGGGUGAGUAACGCGUGAGGAACCUGCCUUUCAGAGGGGGACAACAGUUGGAAACGACUGCUAAUACCGCAUGACACAUUGGGGUCGCAUGGCCUUAAUGUCAAAGAUUUAUCGCUGAAAGAUGGCCUCGCGUCUGAUUAGCUAGUUGGUGAGGUAACGGCCCACCAAGGCGACGAUCAGUAGCCGGACUGAGAGGUUGAACGGCCACAUUGGGACUGAGAUACGGCCCAGGCUCCUACGGGAGGCAGCAGUGGGGAAUAUUGGGCAAUGGGCGCAAGCCUGACCCAGCAACGCCGCGUGAAGGAAGAAGGCUUUCGGGUUGUAAACUUCUUUUGUCAGGGACGAGUAGAAGACGGUACCUGACGAAUAAGCCACGGCUAACUACGUGCCAGCAGCCGCGGUAAUACGUAGGUGGCAAGCGUUGUCCGGAUUUACUGGGUGUAAAGGGCGUGUAGCCGGGAGGGCAAGUCAGAUGUGAAAUCCACGGGCUUAACUCGUGAACUGCAUUUGAAACUGUUCUUCUUGAGUAUCGGAGAGGCAAUCGGAAUUCCUAGUGUAGCGGUGAAAUGCGUAGAUAUUAGGAGGAACACCAGUGGCGAAGGCGGAUUGCUGGACGA